UUUAACAUGAGAGUUUGAUCCUGGCUCAGGAUGAACGCUGGCGGCGUGCCUAACACAUGCAAGUCGAACGAGGUAUUUUGAUUGAAGUUUUCGGAUGGAUUUCAAGAU
rnacentral:rRNA from 1 species